rnacentral:rRNA from 1 species
AACGAACGCUGGCGGCAUGCCUAACACAUGCAAGUCGAACGAGACCUUCGGGUCUAGUGGCGCACGGGUGCGUAACGCGUGGGAACCUGCCUUUAGGUUCGGAAUAACUCAGAGAAAUUUGAGCUAAUACCGGAUGAUGUCUUCGGACCAAAGAUUUAUCGCCUUUAGAUGGGCCCGCGUUGGAUUAGCUAGUUGGUGGGGUAAAGGCCUACCAAGGCGACGAUCCAUAGCUGGUCUGAGAGGAUGAUCAGCCACACUGGGACUGAGACACGGCCCAGACUCCUACGGGAGGCAGCAGUGGGGAAUAUUGGACAAUGGGCGAAAGCCUGAUCCAGCAAUGCCGCGUGAGUGAUGAAGGCCUUAGAGUUGUAAAGCUCUUUUACCCGAGAUGAUAAUGACAGUAUCGGGAGAAUAAGCUCCGGCUAACUCCGUG